UCAAUAUGAAACUUAACCGGCAGCCAGUGUAAGGAGGAUUAAACUGAAACUAAUGAAACAUGAGUUGCAUUAUCAAGUUUUUCUUGUUAUAAUUUGUUUUCUAAAAGAGUGUCUCACAUAUGAGGCAAAGGAAAUGUCUGUUGAAGCCAGUAUCAACAUUGGCAAAGAGACUCAUCCUGUGGCAUACUGUAAGCUGACGUUUGCUUCUGCCGACACAAGGCUCAUUUUGUUCUUUGGGUUUUCUACUCUUGGAUGUUUGACCUGAAAAGAUGCUGAUGAAAUCCUCCUUGAUUUUCCUGGCAUGUUUGUUUCUUGUGGAUACUUCCCUUGAUAAAGAUAAGACCACUACAAAAAGAAAAGCUCAGAGGGAGGAAAUGAAAAUCACCCAACCUAAUAAGAGUCUGACCUCAACUGGAAGAAGCAGAGAGGUCUUAAACCGGACUAAAGAAAUCAAGACAAGAAACGACAUGGGAUGUACAAGCAUAGGAGGCAUCUGUCAACGAAAUAGUUACAUCUGUCAGGGCAGAUACUUAAAGGAUAAAUGUCGGGGGGAGAAGUCACGCCAGUGUUGCAUGCCAGGUGUGUUCUUAAACCAUAUUGACUUGAGAGGUUUCUUUGAAUUUUUGACUUGAGUGAUUUCUUCGAAAAAUGAGCCAUAAUAACUUCUGUUUUCCUGUUUCAGCAUGGAGUGCUCUGUGUGCUGGUAGUCAUUAUAACAGAGUACGAGCUUGUGACAGCUAUGGUUGCGGUGGCUUUAACUCCAGAAGUGAUUUGGGUCUCCACAAAGGAAUUGAUAUCGUGUGUGAUAAUUAUGGCAUCAUCAACGCGCCUUUUUCUGGAAACCUGGUUGGUCCUGUUGGGAGAGCAGUGGGAGAGUCUAUUCAAUACGAUGGUGUCAAACUCUAUAACAAAGGAGAGGCAAUGGGUUACCUGUUACCCCUACAGGACACUUUCUCUGGCAUUACCUCACACCUGGAGCUUCAGAUGUGUGAUGGGUCUGAUCCCUCGCCCUUCAUAUGAGACUUGCUCAUGGAAAAUGAAUUCAAAAUGCUUUUUUUUUUUUUUUUUAGAACUACAGUGCAUGGCUUCAAAAUGUGCUUAUGCAUUAGUUUAAAAGCAUGUUUUAUCAGUGAAAAAGCACCACAAGAUGGCAGCACAAAUCUACAGAAUAACAAGAAAACAAACAUGAUGAUAAUUUAUAUUAUUAAUAUUGUCAGUUUUUAACCACCUCAAAUACUCACACACUUUUUUGUAUUUGGAUGAAAAAUAAAAGCCUCAGAGUACAAACUGCACAU